AUACGGAGGAUGCGAGCGUUAUCCGGAUUUAUUGGGUUUAAAGGGUGCGUAGGCGGGAUUUUAAGUCAGCGGUGAAACGCAAGGGCUCAACCCUUGACCUGCCGUUGAAACUGGAGUUCUUGAAUGCGGAUGCUGUGGGAGGAAUGGGUGGUGUAGCGGUGAAAUGCAUAGAUAUCACACAGAACACCGAUUGCGAAGGCAUCUCACAAAUCCGUGAUUGACGCUGAGGCACGAAAGUGUGGGGAUCAAACAGGAUUAGAUGCCCUGGUAGUCCACGCAGUAAACGAUGAUUACUAGCUGUUUGCGAUACACAGUAAGCGGCACAGCGAAAGCGUUAAGUAAUCCACCUGGGGAGUACGCCGGCAACGAUGAAUCUUAAAGGAAUUGGCGGGG
rnacentral:rRNA from 1 species